GAAAAUAUAAUCACUAAUCUUGCAUGUUACCUUGAGUUGGUUUAUCAAUUAAUAACAAGUCCAAGACUUCUAUACUCACUGGGAUUGUAAUUAACUCUUAACCCUGCAACUGCAUAUCCUGCAAUGCAUGCCAUGUGAGUGUCUUGUAAAGCAGGCAUCCGCCGGGUCCUGUGCUCAUUUCCUCCAGAUUAUGACUUGUCGUGCUUCUUGAUGUACUUUUGAGUUAGCUUCCUGAAUACCACCUAGCUGCAUGCGCUUUACAACAUCGUUUUUGCAUGCACAUAUCCAUCCUGCUGUAUUUAAAGGAUUCUUUAGAGUAGGUGUUUUAGAGACUGAUCAAGAAUUUUUAUCGUGUUAGAAUAUUCACAGAUGUGACUCAAUGGAAUCUCAACCUCAUUGAACUGAGGGAGUAACUUCCAGGAUAAUAACCAGUUCAAAAGCUUUACAUUAAGCGUUUCCUUCAUUAAUCUGAGUUAUAAGUUCCAAAUAUAAACUGGUUCAUGCAUCAAAUCUUACUUGUGAUCUAUUGCUUGAAUGAAUUUUACAGGAACUAUUAUAGAUGCACUUCAGCUGGAUGUCCUGUCCGAAAGCACAUUGAAACAGCAGUGGAUAACACAAAUGCUGUCAUUAUA
rnacentral:lncRNA from 1 species